AAUGUGUGCCAGUCUCUGUGGUGUAAGAUAAUUUCCUCUCUCCCUCUUUCAAGAAUAAGAAGGUUAAGAUACAAACAUGAAACAAAAGUACUAAGCUGUGGGGAAAAUGUGUAAAGGGUCUUGGCAGGCUGAGGCUGUUGCUGCUGCUGCUGCCACCUCCUGGGAGAAGACAAACCGAGCUUUCUACCUGAAGCCAGGCCAGUUUUCACCUGUGGUUUGGACAAAGACCUGCUGAGGCUGUGUUGAAGUUCCUUUGACGUAGAAUAUC